AGCGAUUUUGGUCCAUAGAAUGAAGGUUCACAGGAAAACAUUUUGCCUUAUAGUACAUUUUAAGCCAAACUGCCUGAAUAUUAUUUAAUGAGACAAUCAUUAAAUUAUUUUUAAAAUUAAGGUAUUAUAACUUUGUCCUGUGUUUAACUUCUAGAAAAUAUGUAUUUUAAGCUGGAAAAGUCUUCAACUGGGGAAUUUAUCCGUUAAGUAACUGCAAAAUACUUUGAUCAUAUUUGAGAAUAAUUGUUUCUUGGGGACAACCUCCCCUACGCCACUGCCCCCAACCAAAUCCAAGAAGAAUAUAGGGAAGAAAAUAUUUGAAUGUUUUUGUAUUAUUAUUUGUUUUCUCUUGCCUUUGUGUUUGUUGCUGAAUGUUUUUUUUAAAUUUUGUUUUGACUUUUUUUUUUAAUAGUUACAGAAACAACUCUCUUAUAACUGAAGCUGGAGAUUUCAAGGCAGAAUUUCUAGGAGAAAUACCAGCAUAUAGGCUGAGAAAUGAAGUCAGAGAGAUGAUAUCAGCAAACUCCAAAAUAAGAGUAUUUACAGAGUGAUUCUGUAACAGAGUAUGUCACAAAGCUGAGACCAGAAGGCAACUAUGAGUGAGCCUUUUUGUGGACUGGAAGGACAACAGAGCAAUACUUGGCUAUGGCAGCUCCCUGCUACAGGUAAAUACUUCUUAUCAUCUUAUAUUUUUCACAACUUAUACAACUUGUAUAUGUUGUAAAAUGUAAAUGUUGUCUGAAUUAACUGUGCUAUUCAAUAAGGAUGUGUUAAAGGUUUCUGUACUUAGGUUCCAAGUCUGAGGAAGAAUUGUAGUUAUUGCUGCUGCAAUUCCAGCAUUGUCUGUACUCAUAUUCUCUUUUUGUUUCAGUGAACUGUCCCAUGAUUGAGAGAUCUACCAUCAUAUCAACCAUCUCAUGAUUUUCUUUGUGGCCUGUCUUGAUAUUUGACAUAGGGCAUCCAUUGAUCCCUGUUGAAGGUUUUCUAUCCCAUAUUCAAUUUCCAAGCAAUUUUUCAAUAGUUAUUAUGUAUGGACCAGAG
rnacentral:lncRNA from 1 species